GAAAGGAAGCAGAGGGAGCUUGCUGUAGGGGCUCCCCAGUCAGUGCUGGAGGAUGUGGUGGGUGAAUUAGAGCCUCCCUCCCACCAUGAAGAGGCUCCAAUACACUCACCUAACCCUCCAGCAAGGAGCUGAAAAACCCCAGACUGAACUCCUUCUACUUCCUUUCCCCCUCCCAUUCUGAAAACAGCCACAGGCUGGCUGGCAGAGCAGAUGCAAGUUACAGAAAACAUUAUGUUUUAAAAUGUCUUUGUCUGAACCUUCAUGCUAUGCACUGGGGUUUGAUCACAGCUAUAGAUCACUUUCUGUGGCCAGAUUGUGCAAAGUUUGUCACUUCUGUCUGAACCCUGAGUCCUAUUUCUCUAUCACUGCAGGAAUCAAAUAGCAGGAGAGACUUUCUUUACUCACAGUUCCAAGCUGCAGUAAGCACUUAGCCAAAAAAAUUCAGGGGCUUAUACGUAGCAUACCUAUUUCCCUGGCUACCUGUGGUUCUUUCUUGUUGCCAUCUCUGUUUCUGCCUAGCUUUUUCUGCUUCUUUUUGCUGUUUCUUACAUAUACCUUAUCCAACCCUGCAAUUGAUUUCAGUCCCCCAUGAAACCCUUCCACUUCAUGAUUCAUGAAUGUGGUCUGUAUUUUAGCCACAGGCUCCUAGUCUUACAGCUAUCCACUCCAUGAAGGGGUUUGUCUACUUUUCCAUUUUUGCCUCAACAAGGAGUGGCUAUUAUUUUCUGUAUUUUGAAAGUCUCAGUUUCAUUCUGGGGCAAAAUAAAGCACAUUUUCAAAUGUCAAAACGUUUUGCAAAGCAGAAUCACUGUUCUUUGCUCAGCCUCCUGUUCCUGCUGCUGCAAUGCCAGCUUCAGCUUGUGGCAGUUCUCCUCUCCAAGCCUGAGCUGCAGUAUAUAGUUAUAGCUGCUGUGGCUAUAAACUGCUUCUGCAGCUGCUGUGCUGCCCUAAUGAAGAUGUGGCAUUCAUAUCCAGACUUGCUCUUCUGCUCCAGGAUCCACUCUGCUGAUUCCUGCACCUGCAGAAAGCAGCUUAUGGGACUGGGAGCUGAACGCUGAAAAAGGCUUGAAGCCAAUGAAAUCACUCUCUUCAGAAGAAGCUGCAGAUUUACUUGGAUAAUAUAGUUCUUCCCAGGGCUUUGGACAAUGCAGACUGGCUUCAUUUGAGUUGCCCACAGCUGACCUAGAUGAAUUUCCCAGAAGCAGCAUGCAAGUAUUGAAUUCUGCAGAGGUCAAUAUUCAAAUGUACUUACCUCACAGGGCAAGACGCUAAGAUACUGUUGGAAAACAAAAGUCAAUGUCAUUAUUAAUUUGUGCACCUCAUUACCCAAGUCAGUUGGAGUGCUCUAAUUUUGUUGUGAAAUAUUGCUGUAAUUAAGUUCCCUGGUCAUUUUGAAACAAAAGUGAUUUGUUAGACAAUAAGGAAAUUGAAGGGAACUGGAGUCUUGAUUUGUGUAGAGACACUGACAUUUUGUUCGCAAAGCUAGAGUAUUAGUUUUUCACAGGUGUUAAAAUAAGUUAAAGUACAGUAGCACCUGUUUAUGGCAGUUGAGG
ensembl:lncRNA